AUCUUAUUCAAUGUUUUCAGCAAACAUGAGGAAUAUGACAGAAGUUAUAGUUAAUAUUUAAGGUAGCACUAACAUUUAUCAUAUAAAAUGUGAGAUCCAGAAACUAUGCUCGAUCAACUAUGAAGGUGGUGGAGAUGGUGGUGAUUAGAAUUGACAUGGCCAUUGUGCAGCUGAUGGUGGUGAUUGUGGUGGUGGUGAUAGUCCAUGCCACCGCCAUUUUCUGAAGCUUUUGCCAUUUCUGUCCACAUUCCUCUUGGUGGGUCUCUUGUUAGCUCUAACAAUGAGUCCCUCACAUAAUCUGCUUGAACCAUUUCGCUGUCCUUCUUCUCUACUUUGAAAACAUUUGAGAUAAGGCCUCUGAAGCUGGUUACAUUGGCAUUGGUAACUUCUAAGCCAAGAGAAUCCAAAGCCUCCAUCAACCUCACAAACCCUCCAGGCUUGUGCUCACAAAAAACCUUUACAAAGAACUCAUUUCCAUCUAUUUGAGCCACUUCCACUUGGACCUCCAUCUGUUGUCCCUUGUCAUGAGAAAUUUCUGAUUUGUGAUUUAGUUUGGAGCAGGUAACUUCUGAUGCCCCCACAUCAAACCCAUUCACGAAACCUCCAUUUUGAUUCAGAAUUUCUGGUGCGAUGUUGUUGUUGUUGUUGUGGCUACCACCAUUUUUAGCACCUUCAUCAUCUGAAUGCUCUUCAAGCUCAUCUUGUAGUUCUUUGGCUUGCUUCUGCAACUCCUUCACAAAUUCAAUUGCAUCUCCAAGUAUGGCAGCCUUAUUCAGGUUUGAAAUUUUGGGAACCAAAGCUCGGAGAUCAUAGAGUCUUCCAUUAAGCCUUUUCCUUCUCCUCCUCUCAGCAUGAAGAUUUUUAGCUUGAGGCCCUCUUCCUGUCCUCCUCCUAUACUUGGCAUCGUUCUCAUCAUCAUUCUGAUCACUGCAAUCCGAGAUUGAAUCCGAUCUCCCAUUCUCCUGUUUUACCGAGUCCUUAUCAUUCGCUUGUUGCUCCUUGUUUGCAGAGGAUUCCAUAAACUUCAUGUGCAUGCCUUCUGUAUUGUUCAUCAUCAUGGAUUUCUGCAAUGCAUCCAUAUCUUGCAGCCCAUUUGCCGCACCUUCAAAAAAUAUGUCAUUUUUAUUCUUGUUUUCCUGAUCAUUGUAAUUGAAUUGCUGUAAGAAGUUCAUUGGAGGACUAAAUAGAUGGAUUCGAUCAGCAGAGAUAUCAUAUGGCAGAUUCAAAUUCUCUAACGCUGUUGCUGGGGAAACUGGAGCCUGGAAUUGAUUCAUCUGAUGAUCCUUUUUUUCAGUAUCAUCAGCUAGAAAUGGUUUCGAUUGUUGUUCGUUUAUCAUGUUGACAUUAACUGCGAAACCUGAAUCCAUGUUGGUUGAGUUUAUUAUGGCUUCUUGUUCCAUUAAUAUGCAGCAGUGAGAUGUUACAAAAUUUAUGACAUUUUGAUCUUCAGAUACUUGUUUAGUAACAAACAGCUCUA
rnacentral:misc_RNA from 1 species